CAUCAGCCGCCAGGCGAGCAUUGUCAAUCUGCAGCACGAUGCUGGCAUUGUCAAUUGUGGCUGCCAGGAUCUGGAGGUGAUAGUGAGCUCCAUGAGCAAGCACCCACCACAGAGCCC
rnacentral:miRNA from 1 species